CCCGCUGAACUUAAGCAUAUCAAUAAGCGGAGGAAAAGAAACUAACAAGGAUUCCCCUAGUAACUGCGAGUGAAGCGGGAAAAGCUCAAAUUUAAAAUCUGGCAGUCUUUGAUUGUCCGAGUUGUAAUUUAGAGAAGUGUUACCCGUGUUGGUCCGUGUACAAGUUUCCUGGAAUGGAACGUCAUAGAGGGUGAGAAUCCCGUCUUUGACACGGAUCCCAAUGCAUUGUGGUGCGCUCUCGAAGAGUCGAGUUGUUUGGGAAUGCAGCUCUAAAUGGGUGGUAAAUUCCAUCUAAAGCCAAAUAUUGGGGAGAGACCGAUAGCGAACAAGUACCGUGAGGGAAAGAUGAAAAGAACUUUGGAAAGAGAGUUAAGCAGUACGUGAAAUUGCUAAAAGGGAAACGCUUGAAGUCAGUCGCGUUGGCCGGGGAUCAGCCUUCCUUUUGGUUGGUGUACUUCCUGGUUGAUGGGUCAGCAUCAGUUUUGACCGGUGGAUAAAGGUGAGAGGAAUGUGGCAUCUUCGGGUGUGUUAUAGCCUCUUAUUGUAUACAUCGGUUGGGACUGAGGAACUCAGCACGCCGCAAGGCCGGGUUUUUAACCACGUUCGUGCUUAGGAUGCUGGCAUAAUGGCUUUAAUCGACCCGUCUUGAAACACGG
rnacentral:rRNA from 1 species